CUGAGGUGUGGGGGUUUAGCCAGGGUAACUAGAAAAUUAUCUCUCUCAAUGGCUGUGGAAACUCCCUCCCCAUCAUCAAGUUGGAAAAAACAGGGCCAACUGAUCAAACUCCCAGCCCAUGGGCCGGAUGCGUCAUGCGCUGCCACUCUCAUGCCUGGUUUAGCGAAGGGGGGGAAAAGUCCUGAUAUGUCAUGUGACGCCACCGUGAUGACAUUGUUUUGUGUGGUGUGGACUUGCAAUAUUGUGUUGCUGAAGGAAGCGAAAUCCAGCACGACCUGAGACAGGAAGACUGGGGAGUGAACCUCCCCCCACCCCCAUGGGACAGGACUAACUUUUUCAGAUAACAGAAGUAAACAUCAGAAACAAAAGAGCUGCCAGAGUAACAUACUUAGUGUUCAAGAUAUGUGGUUUGAAUAUGAACUUUUCAGCAAAGGUGAACAUUCUACUGUUCAGAAAAUAGUUUGAAAAAUAAGGGUAAUUAUAGGAAAUGAUAAA